CUGCCUGGAACUUCUCCCCAGGCAAAGAUGUCCUUCAGAGAAUCUAUUCCACAUGCCAUGUGUGAUCCUUCAGAAGCUUUCAGUUUAGGCAUUUGGGAGUAAUUCUUUCCAAGUAGAAAUCUAGGUCUGACCAUGUUCUCUGCCUUGGAGUGACGAAUGCUUCUGAGCAAUCCAGACUGCUCUUCGAUACUUUGUUCUGUAUCAACCUAGGACUGCCAUACAUAACAAGGCGUGGAGGAGCAUGACAAGACGGGACCAUAUGGACUGAUGGAGACAGGUGGGUAAAUCAGAAGAAGUUACUAAAUGGUGUUGAUCAUUGCUGAGGUGGGAUGAUAUGGUGAAGAACUUGAAGUCGAAAGCAACUUCUUGACUGUCGGUAAUUUACCUUGGUAUAUGAGUUUCACGUGGGCUUAUUUCUGUAUCGGUUUGAUACUUGACU